rnacentral:rRNA from 1 species
GACGAACGCUGGUGGCGUGCUUAACACAUGCAAGUCGAACGGAAAGGCCCUGCUUUUGUGGGGUGCUCGAGUGGCGAACGGGUGAGUAACACGUGAGUAACCUGCCCUUGACUUUGGGAUAACUUCAGGAAACUGGGGCUAAUACCGGAUAGGAGCUCCUGCUGCAUGGUGGGGGUUGGAAAGUUUCGGCGGUUGGGGAUGGACUCGCGGCUUAUCAGCUUGUUGGUGGGGUAGUGGCUUACCAAGGCUUUGACGGGUAGCCGGCCUGAGAGGGUGACCGGCCACAUUGGGACUGAGAUACGGCCCAGACUCCUACGGGAGGCAGCAGUGGGGAAUAUUGCACAAUGGGCGGAAGCCUGAUGCAGCAACGCCGCGUGCGGGAUGACGGCCUUCGGGUUGUAAACCGCUUUCGCCUGUGACGAAGCGUGAGUGACGGUAAUGGGUAAAGAAGCACCGGCUAAC